GGAUGUUAGAGCAAUCUGACAGUGACAUCUGUCACUCCAUUGUAUGCCAGCUUUGAUUUGAGGGAUUUGGCUAGCAGGAAGAUAUCCAGUGAUUCCCUCACUGUGCUAUAUUUGUCAUCCUGCCUUUGGCAUUGGCCGCAUCCUCAGGAUGUCAGUCAAGUCAAAGAGGGAGAUACUUCCAGAUGGAGGAGGACCAUUCUGUAGUCCAAGCAAUAGAAUUAACUAAACACUCCUCAAAACAGAUCUAAAACCUCAAAACAGAUCUGCAGGGUUCAUAUUGAACUGC
ensembl:misc_RNA 7SK 7SK RNA